GGAGCUAAUACCGGAUAAUAUUUUGAACCGCAUGGUUCAAAAGUGAAAGACGGUCUUGCUGUCACUUAUAGAUGGAUUCGCGCUGCAUUAGCUAGUUGGUAAGGUAACGGCUUACCAAGGCAACGAUGCAUAGCCGACCUGAGAGGGUGAUCGGCCACACUGGAACUGAGACACGGUCCAG
rnacentral:rRNA from 1 species